UACGUAGGGGGCAAGCGUUGUCCGGAAUCAUUGGGCGUAAAGAGCGUGUAGGCGGCCCGAUAAGUCCGCUGUGAAAGUCCAGGGCUCAACCCUGGAAUGCCGGUGGAAACUGUCGGGCUAGAGUUCGGAAGAGGUGAGUGGAAUUCCUGGUGUAGUGGUGAAAUGCGUAGAUAUCAGGAGGAACACCUGUGGUGUAGACGGCUUUCUGGACCAUAGCUGACGCUGAGACACGAAAGCGUGGGUAGCAAACAGG
rnacentral:rRNA from 1 species